CUGCAGCCCGAGUGGUGAUCGAUUUUAUUGAGCCUAAAGCGUCCGUAGCCGGACUAGUAAACCCUUGGGUAAAUUGGGCAGCUUAACUGUCCAAAUUCCGAGGGGACUGCUAGUCUUGGGACCGGGAGAGGUCAGAGGUACUCCAGGGGUAGGGGCUAAAUCCUGUAAUCCUUUGGGGACCACCAGUGGCGAAGGCGUCUGACUAGAACGGAUCCGACGGUAAGGGACGAAACCCUGGGGCGCGAACCGGAUUAGAUACCCGCGUAGUCC
rnacentral:rRNA from 1 species